CGGGUGAGUAACGCGUGAGUAACCUGCCUUCAAGAGGGGAUAACAUUCUGAAAAGAAUGCUAAUACCGCAUGACAUAUCGGAAUCACAUGGUUCUGAUAUCAAAGAUUUUAUCGCUUGAAGAUGGACUCGCGUCCGAUUAGUUAGUUGGUGAGGUAACGGCUCACCAAGACCGCGAUCGGUAGCCGGACUGAGAGGUUGAACGGCCACAUUGGGACUGAGACACGGCCCAGACUCCUACGGGAGGCAGCAUG
rnacentral:rRNA from 1 species